rnacentral:rRNA from 1 species
GAAAUUCGCCUUCAUGAAGCCGGAAUUGCUAGUAAUGGCAGGUCAGCAUACUGCCGUGAAUACGUUCCCGGGCCUUGUACACACCGCCCGUCACACCAUGAGAGUUGGGAAUACCCGAAGCCUGUGAGCUAACAUUAAGAGGCAGCAGUCGAAGGUAGAAUCAAUGAUUGGGGUGAAGUCGUAACAAGGUAGC